AUAGCUAAUCCCCAAUAGUAUCUAGAUGAUGAAAUCAGUCUAGAUUAAAGAUUUAUCGCUUUUGGAGGAGGGUGCGUCCUAUCAGGUAGUUGGUAAGGUAAUGGCUUACCAAGCCUAUGACGGGUAGCCGGUUUGAGAUGAUGAUCGGCCGCGAUGGGACUGAGACACGGCCCAUACUCCUACGGGAGGCAGCAGUGGGGAAUAUUGCACAAUGGACGAAAGUCUGAUGCAGCGAUUCUGCGUGGAGGAUGAAGCAUUACGGUGCGUAAACUCCUUUUCUGGUAGAAGACGAAUGACGGUAUACCAGGAAUAAGGGACGGCUAACUAUGUGCCAGCAGCCGCGGUAAUACGUAGGUCCCAAGCGUUAUCCGGAUUUACUGGGCGUAAAGUGUCCGUAGCCUGAUAAAUAAGUCUGUUUUCAAAUACCUGGACUCAAUCGAGGGAAGGGAAUAGAUACUGUUUAUCUAGAGAUAUUUGGGGGUUAGUGGAAUUUCCGGUGGAGCGGUGAAAUGCGUUGAUAUCGGAAAGAACGCCGAAAGCGAAAGCAGCUAACUACAAUACAUCUGACGGUGAGGGACGAAAGCUUGGGGAGCAAACGGGAUUAGAUACCCCGGUAGUCCAAGCCUUAAAUUAUGCUUGCUAGGUGUUUAGAUCCUUCGGGAUUUAAGUGCCGUAAUCUAACGAGUUAAGCAAGCCGCCUGAGUAGUAUAUUCGCAAGAAUGAAACUCAAAGGGAUAGGCGGGAGAACACACAAGCAGUGGAUUGUCUAGAUUAAUUGGAUACGAAGCCAAGAAUCUUACCUAGAUUUGACAUGCAUUAUGUCUACGGUGAAAGCCGUAUAUUCGUAGCAAUACGAAGUUUUGCACAGGUGGUGCAUGGUCGUCGUCAGCUCGUGCCGCAAGGUGUCUAGUUAAGUCUAGUAACGAGCGCAACCCUCGUCCUUAGUUAGAAUGUCUAAGGAGACUGCCUCGGUAACGAGGAGGAAGGAGAGGAUGACGUCAGAUCCUCAUGCCCCUUACAUCUAGGGCCUCAUAGACAAUACAAUGGGUAGCAACAACGAGAAGCAAUACCGCGAGGUGGAGCAAAUCUUCAAACCUACCCCUAGUUCGGAUUGUAGUCUGGAACUCGACUACAUGAAGUUGGAAUUGCUAGUAAUGGCGAAUCAGCUAUGUC
rnacentral:rRNA from 1 species